rnacentral:lncRNA from 10 species
AUUGCUUGUGGCUUUGCUGUCUGCUGCAGGCUGGAGGAGCUUAAAAGCCUUUCUAAGUAGCUGCCUGUCCUUUUAGGACUGGAUGUAGGUUUCUGCCUCUCUUUUUGGCCCUGGCAUUGCUGGCCCCAACCACAUUCCUGAUUGCCCGGGAAGAACAGCCUUUGAAAUUCAACAUCUGCUUCUGGGUAGUUGGUUGAACAAGCCCACCUGACCAAGAGAGGGAAGCACGCUAACUGUUUUCAGUUUGGACACUCUUGGGGGCUUUUUAGUAAUUGCAUGUGUUUCUGAGCAAGUGAGUGUCUUUUGUGGGUACCAGACAACAGGAUUGCUCCUCUCAACUAGGGACAGUCUGAAGAAUUUUGGUGUGCAAAUUCAUCAAGCUCACCCCAUGGAAAGAGGAAGCUCCGCUGUUUCAGUUUGGACACUCUUGGGGUUUGUUGGUUGCUGCAGCACUUGGAUUGUAUUUUGGUGAUUGUUUGUGUAUGUCAAUAUAGCCAUGGGAAGUAAGAAUUUGAUAAGCUGAUAAUCUUAUGUAAUACUGUUUGGCCUCAUAUCUUUGAAUCUGGAUAAGUUUGGCCUCUCCAUGUGCCUCGUUUUGCUGCUGAAUGGCAAAGCAGGGUGGAGUUUUGUGUAUUCAGGCUUUUAUGCUGUUGUUCAAAGCAAGGUCAGGCUUGAUUAGUACAUGAUGUUCUUCUGUGGUUUUUUCUGGCUCCAGUCAUCCUUGGAGUGUGGAGAGAUUUAGCCUUUAAAAAUCAAAAUGCCACAGAAACUGCUAUACCCAAAACUUUGGUUCACAACCUUCAUUGGAUUGCCUAUCAGGUCAAAAGAAGUUUAGCCAUGUGAACGUGUUCAUAAGCCUGUGAGUUUGUAUUGGUAUCUCAUGGCUAGAGUUCCAAGCAUUUCUGCUGUUCAAAUUCUCUCUGCAUUUCAUGACAGCAUCUACAUUCAAGAUUCCCAGAGGCACCAUCCACAAAGCUCUACAGCAUUUAGAUGGAGUUGCAAUUUGUUUCUAAGACAGAGGACAAGAAAUAUGAAGAAGCCUUUCCCUGGAGGCUGAUCCACGUGAUUCAGGAGAGGAAAUGUUUAGAGUUAGAAAGACUCCAUACAGUGCCUAGCUCCAGAUAAGGCUCAUGGUUCUUUCACAGUUAUGUGUGAAUAUGAAUGUGGCUUUUAUAUAUGUGGGCUGCUUUUUAAAUGAAAGGUAAUUUUCUUUUUUAUCAGUCUGGGAGACAAAAACCAAUGGAUGUGUGAAGUAUUGGAGUGAUGUUAACAGGAGCCCUGAGUGCACUGACUGUCCGCCUUGCAGUCCCACACUGUCGGCCUAGAGACCAGAGGAAGGAUCUAGGAGCAGGGAGAGAUCUGUGGCUCCUCUUUGUAUUCCCUCUAAUGAAGGUGUGAAGGUUAGAGGAAAAAUACUGUUACCCAGGUCAUUGAAAAUACCACAGGUAAUUUUAAUUUCUACUGGAUUACUGUAAUUUUGUUUUCUUUUUUAGUUUUUAGAUUUUUUUAUCAUUGACUCUUGCUUUUUUAUUAUUAAUAGUCAUAUUGGCUACAUAAAAUGUAUAACAAACAUUACAUUAUUUAGUAUAAUCUGUAAUAAGCUAUGUAAAAUGAGAACUACAUGUCCCUUAAGAGUUUAAAAGAACUUUGAGUAAAACUGCAUUUCUUUGAAAAUUUUAAGGAAAAAAAAAAGAUAUUUUAAAGUUUUACAAAGUGAAGUCCCUCUAAUACCAAAUUUUCUUUGCAGUCUCUUAGUCAGGAUAGAGUUACUGAGCCUCUAUUUCAGCAUUCUAGAUCCAAACAAAAAGUGGCAAUCACCUCUUUGAUUGAUGAUUUACUGUAUUGGAGGACUUUGAGAAUUUAUUUUAAAAUUAAGUAUAUCCAAAAGAUAAUUUUAUUUAUGAGAACUGUAAAUAUCUGCAGACAUUUUCUCUUUCCUAUUCUAAAACUUACUAAAAUUUUAGAUACAGGAAUUCUCUGUUGAAAAAAAUAUAUAUAUGUAUAGAUAGAUACACACGUAUAUAUAUACGAAAUGUGAGAAAAAAUAUAUAUAUAUAUUCCUUUGAUGGUCUUUAAUAUUUAGUUUAAAAACUUUAAGGAAAUCAUAAAACUUUUAAAUUUCAACUCUCUCUAAGAUUAUAUGGGCAGUUAAGUUUAAAUAUAGAGCAUAUAUUUCUUCAGUUAAAAGGAAGUGUGUAUUUACUGCUGUUCAAUUAGAAAAAGCAAUUAACACCUGCCUAAUCAUAAGCUACACUGUUUUUUAUGUUUAGAUUUUCAAAAUAGAGCUUGCCCAUAAGGACAUCUACCUACUGGGGAACAUAGAAUUAUUUUGAAAAGUUUGUUAAGAAUUGGCUGAUUACUUGACCUAAGGAUUUAAUUCAGCAUGAAUACACAAAAGAAAGAAAAUGUAUAUUUGCUUGUGUUCAAGUCUGAAAUUAAGCUUUGGUCUACGGUUAAAUUAAUACAGCCCUGAGAACACCUUGUCUUAACUUCCUAAAAAUUAAUUUUGAGAAAUAGAUUUAAUAGUACCAAGGUACAUUGUUGUUAUAAUGAAGAAGGCGAGAAUAGUUUUUAUUACCUUAAUUGACGCGCUUUUAUAAAACGUCAUUUGCAUCUGGAUUCUAAAGGGAACGUGAAUUAUUUUUGCACGAUUAUGAUUUGGAGUAAUAUUGAAAUAUUAAAAAAAUUCAUCCUUUUAUUCUUAAUUGAAUUCCAAUGCAGUAACUUCAAAACAAUGGAAAUAGCAUGAGGCCAGAAAGGGGAAAGGGAGUAGUUGACACUUUGCAUACCACCAGUAACAUGGAAUAGGAGGGAUGCUACAAUUAUAGGAUGCUACUAAAUAUGAAAAUUUAUUCAUUAAUUCAGCAUUUGUACACUGAGCAUCUACUAUGUGUCAGCUAUCAAGUAUGUAAUGAUGAGCGAAGAAAAAAAAACAAAAAACAAUAAUCAACCCAAAAAGUAAUACUGUCAUGUAGAUUAUAGCAUUAAGAUUAUCCAAAACUUAAACAUUCUACAAAUAGAUGUGAAAUUAAUUACAAGUGUUAAAGUGUUAUUACUGCUACAAAAGAAAGGUAAUGUUUUGCAAGAUCAUAGAAUAGUCAACUUAACCUUGUAGAAAGAUCAAGGAAGUCUUCCCAAGGAAUUAAAUGAUACUUUCAUUAUCUUUGCUUUACCUGUGAAGAGCUGAAGUACAGUUAAAUAACUUGCUAAAGUUUUCACAACUGCUAAGUGAUAAAGACAGGACUGGGAUCCAUGCACUGGUGCCAGAGCCUACAAUAUUAACCCCUCUAAUAUACUGUCCGCCACUGAAUUCCUUACUAUAAUGUCAAGAGUUUAUUAGGCAAGCUUCAUCAGGUUGACUAAGCAAUGGUCAUCAAGGGAACAGUAAAGAGAGGUUAGGAGAGAGGAAUAAUUAGAAUUAUAAUAACUCAAAUAUGCAGCAACCUCACGAAUUAGGAAAGGAAAAGAAAAAGAAAAAUAAAUAAAUGUAUAACUAGCCUUGAAUCUAGUUUAUGGAAAUAAGUAGUUUUCAUCUAACAGUCUGCAUAGGAAACUACAUAAGCUCAAUUCACAGAAUGAAGAUAAAUGAUUAUUAAAAAUAAUCCUCAUCUAUGACAGAAUACUUUGUGCCCACUCCCAAUCAUAUCAUUUAAAGCUAAAUUACCAAAAGCAUGUCAUUUGUCUUUGAAUUUCAGGUUUAUUAACUGUAUAAUGGCAAUUGAAUUACCUUUCCUGGAAUUAAAGGUAAACAGUCUUUUCCCCACAUUAUUCUGAAAUUGAUUUUGCUUUGAAGAUAACAUGUACACUUACAUUGUGUUUCUGUUUCAUGAAAAUCUAUUGUUAAUGCUAAAUAUUUUAAAAUAAUGUUUUCAUUCAUUAAUUCAAUGAAUACUUAGAAAAUUCUAUUGAAGAUACUGGACAAAAUUAAGAGAGGCAUAAUUUUGGAGCUUACAUUCUAUAGGAGGAGAAAGAAAAUUAACAAGUAGACCAAGCCAUGUAUAAAUACAAUUUAUGUUUAUAAUUGAAUAUGGAACAUGCAGAAGCCAUUCUCAAAUGGAUAACUCUAGUCUGGGUGGAAAUCAAACAUUUCUUGCCCAAUGUACCAAUGAGACUGUACCAUAAUAAUGUGUAAAUAUUCCUAAUAUAAAUAAUAGUAUAAGUAAUAUUUGCUUCAGUGCUUCAAUUUCUUAAUCAAAUACACUAAAGAAUAAUUGUGGAUCUUUAAUUUCUACAUUUUACAUUUACUUUGCUGAAUAAUUAUUAUAUUUAUAAUAUUACCAAUAUUUAAUAACCUACUCUACUGUAGUAGGGCUUCUACGGUAGGAAAGCUAAGAUUGUAAAUCCUAUUAUAAAGUUUUGUUUUUCCCUUAAGCAAAACAACUCCUAUUUUUUUUGUGUAAACUCAUUUUUCUACAAUAAUUGGAUGUUUUAAAGAGACAUAGUUAUUCUUCUGGUAUUUUCUAUUUUAUUUUUUCACUGCAAAUUCAUCACCUCAUUCUGUUGACUGGAUCAAAUUUAUUAUUAAUGUAUCACCUGGGCUGUCAGUAAUUUUUAACAUGUCAAUAUUUUCCAGUAUUUCUAGUAAGUAUGCUUUACCAGAAACAUACAUAUUUUAUAGUUUUUCUUUGCUUCUUAAAUUUUCCUUUAUUUAUUUUCAGAAGUCUUUGUCUUUCUUUUCACUGAGAAAGUCAACCAUGGUUUAUGGGUCAGCUUAAUUUUUUACUUAAAGGAGGUCUUUCCUAAUUACCUAAUUUAAAUUGAUAUCCACUCAGAUUGUUCUGUUUUAUUGUAUCCUAAUGUUUUCCUUCAUCUGUCACAUUUCAAAAGUAUUGCUUAUGUAAGUCCUCAAAAGUAUUGCUUAUGUAAGUGUUUUAGCAUACACUUUUCCUACCACUUGGAGUCUCAUGGUCCCAGUGACUACGUGGGUUUUGUUCACUGAUACAUGCCCAGUUUUUAGCACAGUGCCUUGUACAGAGUAUGAAAUAUUUUUCCUGUAAAGAAAUGAGUGUUGGAUGUUACAGUCUGUGAUAAUAAGGAAAAUCCUGCCCUUCAUUUGUUACUUUCUCUUGCAUAAGAAAUACUUCACUAUUAUUUACCUUAAUUCUUAUCUCAAUUCUAAUAUGCAUGCUGGUUUGUGCCAUUGCUAAGCUCUUUUAAUUGCAAAAGACAAGAAUAUUUGUUUUUAACAGAGUAAUUUGUUAUGAUUCCACAUCCUCCAACAGUGUCAUGGUACAAACAUAAAAUAUAAUAGAGAACAAUGACCAACUUUUAUCUCCUUAUUCUAGUUUUUAUCUCCUUGUGAAUUAAUUUUAGAACUCAAAACUUAGAUAAAAGUAUCUAUGGAGAUUUCUUCCUUUUCAUUUUACUUUACCUAAUUUUAUUGGCUUGAAAGACCUCAUUGUGCUUAAUUAAUAUCAGUGAUCAAAUCUAUUAUGUUCACUUUCACUAUGUAGGUCUUUAAGGGGUACCAACCACUCAAAUAGUCAAAAAGUCCAUGUAUAACUUUUGACUAACCCAAAGAGUUAACUACUAAUAGCCUAUUAUUGACUGGAAGCCUUACCAAUAACAUAAACAGUCAAUUAACACAUAUUUUCUAUGUGAUAUGUAUUAGAUACAGUAUUCUUACAAUAAAAUAAACUAGAGAAAGGAACAUAUUAUUAAGAAAAUCAUAUGAAAGAGAAAAUAUGUUUACUAUUAAGUGGAAGUGGAUCAUUACAAAAGUCUUCAUCUUUGUCAUCAUUUUGAGUUGGCUGAGGAGGAGAGGAAGAGGAAGGAUUGGUUUUGCUGUCCCAGGGGUGGCAGAGGGGGAAGGAAAUCUGCAUAUGAAUGCAUUCAUGCCAUUCAAACCUAUGUUGUUCAAGAGACCACUGUAAAUUAAAAAGGCAUCAGAUUUUUUCCCCUUGUUUCAAUCUUUUCUCCUAUGCCUACAAAUAAGAUGUGAUAAAUGUUAGACUAAGUGAUCUAAAUAACAUGAGCACUGGCCAAGGAUAUUACUUAUAACAUGUGAUGAACUUACACACAUUUUAAAAAUUAUUUUGUUUUACUCUGUCUGAGAUUUGAUUGCCACUUCACCCCACCCCCUCACCUUAAAAUGCUUGUACCAAGGGAACUGGAGUCAGGGAACUGAAAAGAGUAAAGUAUAGAAGGAAGAAAAGUCACUCUAAGAGUUGUUGUUGUUGUUGUUGUUUGCUUAUUUGUUUGCUUAGAGACAGGGUGUUGCUCUGUCACCCAGGCUAGAGUAUAGCUGUGGGAUCAUGACUCACUGCAGUCUUGAAUUCCUGGGUGUAAUUGAUCCUCCCACCUCAGCCUCUUGAUUAACUGGGACUACAUGCACACAUCACCAUGCCCAGCAAAUUUUUUAAAAAUACAUUUUUUUGGUAGAGAUGAGGUCUUGUUAUGUUGCCCAGGCUGGUCUCAAACUGCUGGCUUCAAGCAAACCUCCUUUGUCAGUUUCCCAAAGUACUGGGAUUACAGGCAUGAGUCACCCUGACUGGCCCUACCUAAGAGUAUUUUUUAACACUGAUUUCUGCUUUGAGCCACUGGGUCUUGAUCCUUCUAAAGACAGUGUAGAAUCUACUUGAGAAUAGAAUGGAAUGGAAUUCAAUGGAAUGGAAUUCAGUGGAAUUCAAUGGAAUUCAAUGGAACAGAAUGAAUCACAUAAAUGCAACUGAGAAUUUUCUGUCUGAAAAAUGGAAGGUGGGGAUUUUAUAGCCAUCAGAUCCCAUCCCUUGUUCUUUAAAGGUGUGUAAGAGUGUGCAUGUGAGCAAGCUUGGCAGGCAUCCAGGGAACAAAAGCACAGGAGCCCUAAGAAAGAAAGAAAAACUUAGGCUUUGUGAAUCUGUCCCUGUGUGCAGCUGGAGGCCACAGGAACAUUCAGGACACAAAGAUGAGCUAAGAAGUUGUCAUGUGUGGUAUAAGAUGUCUGGCCAACAUUGUGAUAGGAAAAGUAAUAGAUCUAAUUAUGGUUCAUUAUUAAGAUUCAAGAAAAACGAUAAAAAGGGACAAGAAAGAAAAAAAGCACUGAUGAUACCACUGCUCAGAUAAAAAUCAUUUAUAACUGGGACAUUUUUUAGAAUACCAGACCAGAAUUCUUUCAAAUUUCAAAGCAAUGAGUAACAAUAAAUAAGUAAGCAACUGUCAAAGACCAAAGGAGGUUGAGGAGAAAUGACUAAAUAUAAUGUAAUAUCCUGUAUUAGAUCUUGGUCCAGAGAAAGAAUUUUUAAAAACUGGUAAAAUGUAAAUAAAGCCUUUUGUUUAGUUAAUAGAAAUGUACUAAUUGAUACAGGGCUGGCAAGCCCUAAAGUGGAGCUUAGCCCAGGAGGGGGUUCUUGGCCUUGCCCAGGAAAGAAUUCAAGGGUAAGCCACAGGUAGAAGUAAACAACUUUACUGAAGAGGCAGUGGUACAGCUCUAUGAUUGCUACUGCAGAGCAGGGCUACCCCAUAGGCAGAGAGUAGGAGCUCAGGGCUGUUUUGCAGUCACAUUUAUACCUACUUUUAAUAACAUCCAGAUUAAAGGGUGGUUUAUGCAGAAAUUUCUAGGGAAGGGGUAGUAACUCUUGGAUCAUUUGUCAUUGCCAAGGAAAGAGGUGGUAAUUCCCAGGUAUUGCCAUGUAACUGACAUGGCACACUGGUGGACAUGUCUGAUGGAAAGCUUCUUCCACUGCAGCCCUGUUUUAGCUAGUUCUCAAUUUGGUCUGGUGUCCAAGCCCUGGCUGUCAGGCCUCUGAGCCCAAGCUAAGCCAUUAUAUCCCCUGUGACCUGCACAUACACAUCCAGAUGGCCGGUUCCUGCCUUAACUGAUGACAUUCCACCACAAAAGAAGUGAAAAUGGCCUGUUCCUGCUUUAACUGAUGACAUUGUCUUGUGAAAUUCCUUCUCCUGGCUCAUCCUGGCUCAAAGGCUACCCCACUGAGUACCUUGUGACCCCCACUCCUGCCCACCAGAGAACAACCCGCCUUUUUCCUUUACCUACCCAAAUCCUGUAAAACGGCCCCACCCCUAUCUCCCUUGGCUGACUAUCUUUUCGGACUCAGCCUGCCUGCACCCAGGUGAUUAAAAGCUUUAUUGCUCACACAAAGCCUGUUUGGUGGUCUCUUCACACGGAUGCACAUGAAAUUUGGUGCCGUGACUCAGAUCGGGGGACCUCCCUUGGGAGAUCAAUCCCCUGUCCUCCUGCUCUUUGCUCCGUGAGAAAGGUCCACCUACAACCUCAGGUCCUCAGACCGACCAGCCCAAGAAACAUCUCACCAAUUUCAAAUCCGGUAAGUGGCCUCAUUUUACUCUCUUCUCCAACCUUCGUCACUAUCCCUCAACCUCUUUCUCCUUUCAAUCUUGGUGCCACACUUCAAUCUCCCAAUUCUCUUAAUUUCAAUUCCUUUCAUUUUCUGGUAGAGACAAAGGAGACACGUUUUACCUGUGGACCCAAAACUCCAGCGCCGGUCAUGGACUAGGGAAGGCAGCCUUCCCUUGGUGUUUAAUCAUUGCAGGGAUGCCUGAUUAUUUACCCAGGUUUCAGAGGUGUCAGACCACACGGGGAUGCCUGCCUUUGUCCUUCACCCUUAGCAGCAAGUUCCACUUUUCUAGGGGAGGUGCAAGUACCCCAAUCCCUUCUCUCCAUGUCUCCACCCCUUCUCUGCUUUUCUGGGUGAGGGGCAAGAACCCCUCAAACCCCUUCUCCUUCACCCUUAGUGGCAAGUCCUGCUUUUCCAGGAGAAAAGAACACCCAAUCCCUUAUUUCCGCACCCUGACCUCUUAUCUCUGUGCCUCAUCCCUUAUUUCCAUGCCCCGACCUCUUAUCUCUGUGCCCCAAUCCCUUAUUUCUGUGCCCUGACCUCUUAUCUCUGUGCCCCAAUCCCUUAUUUCCAUGCCCCGACCCCUUUCUCAAUUUUCUGGAAGGUAAGAACCCCUGAACCCCUUCCAUGUCUCUACUCUCUCUUUUCUCUAGGCUUGCCUCUUUCACUAUGGACAACCUUCCACCCUCCAUUCCUCCGUCUCCCUUAGCCUGUGCUCUCAAGAACUUAAAACCUCUUCAACUCACACCGAACCUAAAACGUAAAUGCCUUAUUUUCUCCUACAAUGCCGCUUGACCCCAGUACAAGCUCGACAGUGGUUCCAAAUAGCCAGAAAAAGGCACUUUCAAUUUUUCCAUCCCGCAAGAUCUAAAUAAUUCUUGUCUUGGACUAAAAUAGGCAAAUGGUCUGAGGUGCCUGAUGUCCAGGCACUCUUCUACACAUCAGUCUCUCCCUAGUCUCUGUGCCCAAUGCAACUCAUCCCGAAUCUUCCUUCUUUCCCUCCUGCCUGUCCCCUCCGUCUCAACCCCAAGCAUCACUGAGUCUUUCUAAUCUUCCUUUUCUACAGACCCAUCUGACCUCUCCCCUCCUCCCCAGGCCGAGCUAGGUCCCAAUUCUUCCUCAGCCUCCACUCCUCCACCCUAUAAUCCUUUAUCACCUCCCCUCCUCACACCUGGUCCAGUUUACAGUUAAGUUCCAUGAGUAGCCCUCCACCACCUGCCCAGCAAUUUACUCUUAAAAAGGUGGCUGGAGCUAAAGGCAUAGUCAAGGCUAAUGCUCCUUUUUCUUUAUCCCAAAUCAGAUAGCGUUUAGGCUCUUUUUCAUCAAAUAUAAAAAUCCAGCCCGGUUCAUGGCUCGUUUCGCAGCAACCCUGAGACGCUUUACAGCCCUAGACCCUAAAAUAUCAAAAGGCCAUCUUAUUCUCAAUAUACAUUUUAUUACCCAAUCUGCUCCCGACAUUAAGUAAAAAUCCAAAAAUUAAAUUCCGGCCCUCAAACCCCACAACAGGACUUAAUUAACCUCGCCUUCAAGGUGUACAAUAAUAGAGGCAGCCAAGUAGCAAUAUAUUUCUGAGUUUCAAUUCCUUUCCUCCACUGUGAGACAAACCCCAGCCACAUCUCCAGCACACAAGAACUUCCAAACGCCUAAACCACAGUGGCCAGGCGUUCCUCCAGAACCACCUUCCCCAGGAGCUUGCUACAAGUGCCAGAAAUCUGGCCACCAGGCCAAGGAAUGCCUGCAGCCCGGGAUUCCUCCUAAGCCGUGUCCCAUCUGUGCAGGACCCCACUGGAAAUCAGACUGUUCAACUCACCUGGCAGCCACUGGAACUCUGGCCCAAGGCUCUCUGACUCCUUCCCAGAUCUUCUCGGCUUAGCGGCUGAAGACUGACGCUGCCCGAUUGCCUCGGAAGCCCAUAGACUAUCACGGACGCCAAGCUUUAGAAUCCAGGCUUUCAGCCAUAUCUGCCUGUUCCCAAACUUGGAAUUCAGAAGACAAGGCGCUCAGCAUGACUCACUGAUAUAUGUUUCACUGCCAGUUAGUGUCAACGGACUAUCUUGUGUUCGAACAAGAACAUGAUAUUCUUAAUAUCUUAAAUUUAUAUGUCUUAUAAUUGUUUUAUGUGUUUUAUGAAAACGAAGUUUAAUGCAUGAGUUUAGAAAACUAAAAUGAGCAGAAAUGCCCAUGAAACUUAUCAAUUAUCAUUCGAUAAUAAUCAAAUCUUCACAAAGUUCUAAAAUCUUUAUUAGAAUAGGCUAAAUUUAACAUCAUCCCGCAGUGGAAAGAGCUCUGGAAUAGGAGACAGAUUAAUAUGUUACUUUAGGAACUGUAGUCUCUGCCUUAGCUAACAUUUUUGUGGUUUUUCAGUUUCUCAUGUGUAAAAUGAAAGUAGAAAUGGUCUUACAGGCUCUUCUAGUUAUUACACAUUUUAUUUAAAUGCUCUAAACACAAAAUAUCUGAAUAUUCUUAUUUUAAUGGUCCUUCAAUUGAAUGUCUAAAAAAACAAAUUCACUUGACUGGCAGGAAAAGCUUGAUUUAGGUGACAUUGUUGGAAAUGUGUCCUUUCUACCUCUGUAAGUACUGAGGUUUACACUGGUUCUAUAGGUCAUUAAGUGCUGGCAUCUAAUAAACUAUCUGAAAAUAAGAGCUGAAUUAUUUACUGUUGAUUUUAUAAAUAUAAUAGAAUGAGUCCUUGAAAUAUAUAGACUAGGUGUAUAUAUUUGUGUUGUUAUUAUUGAAAACAUUUAUACAACAAGAUUCAGGGAGGGCUUCAAGGGUGAUUCCUGUUAAUCUAAAAUAAAUAAUAACAUGAUCAGCCUCUGAAAAUUAAUAUUAGUUAAUUAGAAACCUGAAAAGAUUCAUGCACAAUGGCCAUUAUAUAGCACUUUAUAUUUAACUGGAUAUAUAGAAUUUCGAUUGAGUUUGAAAUUAUAAAAAAGAAAUCACUUUUGAAAUUUAGAAAUCAAAAUCCAAUGUUAGUAAUUAGUUAAAAUUAUCAACAAUUUCUUGAGCCAACAUGCUUGGGGAAUUGCAAGAAAAUGCAAAGGAGAAGAAAUAUCCCUUACCAAAGUCAAAGAUUAGGAAAAUGAAAGACACAGUUAUUUUAUUUUUGUCUUUUUGUAAUUUACACCUCUAACAUUAGAUUGAAAAGCUGCAUUACAGACACCUGCUUCAGUAGAGUCAUUGUUUCCAUGGUGCCACUUUCCAUCACCUAUUUUUAAUAGUUUACACAACAAGAUCAAGGGUGUCCCAGCUGUUACUGCCACUGUUGCUUAGCAACCUUUAAAUCAGAGUUCAAGAAGACAAAGAAUCAUGCUUGAAAAAUUUCUCAACUGUCUGUUUUAUGCACCCACGCCCCUGCUUUCUUCAUUUUGCACCAUUUUUCACUGUUUAUACUCGGAUGCUCUGGUUUUUUUCCAUUAAUUCAAUAUUCUAUAUAUGAAUUCACAACUCCGAGUGCUACUGGAAUCAACUAAAUAUUUUUGUUGAUUUUCAAAAGGUAAUAUAUAUGUUCAACUACAGGCUACCUCCAAUAGAAAAUAAACAGAUUUAAAAUAUUUACUUUAUUUUAUUCAUCAGAAUGGGAGGUUGUUUCAGGUCUUCAUUAUCUGCUGCCAGACUAUAACAUUGCUGUGCCUGAGAGUCUGGUGAAAUGACACACAGAUCAAUGGCCAGAGAUUCACUGCCUGCAGAGAAUUACAAUACCCCCUUGUGCAUUCUGAAAUCUAAAUAUUAUCAUCCACAAAGGACAGAGAAGUCAAAAAUCUGUAAGAAAACAGAGAAGUUAGCGAACUUUGAACUUGGAAUACCUGACUGAGACAGGUUGAUAUCAAUUAAUAAAAACAGAAAAUAUUUUCUAAUAUUUCUGUAAACAAUGAGAGUUUUUUUCCUCAAUAGUAAUUGUUCAGAAACCAAUGGCCCAUCUGUCUAAUUAAUAGAUUAGUAAGCACAAAUCAACAAUGUGGAACGUACAUAAAAAUAGAAAAAAAUCUUAAUUUUGCAUUUGAUAUCUGUAAUAAGAUAGGAACUCUCAAAUCAUAACCAAAUAUUCCUGAAUAAUCCAUAUAAUAAGAGGAAUAUAAUGAUAGGAUUCAUGGCUGGAGAUUUUAUUAACCUGUAUAUGUGUGAGCAACUGUUUACCAUACAUCUCUCACAGAGUUGAUCCAGGUGGGUUUUACCCCUUUGGUUAGAAUGAACGUUCUGUUCCAUAACAUACAUGCCCAAUGACAUGGUCCACACUGACCCAAUUAUUUAAACUCUUGGAUUUUCCUUUGACCCUCUAUUAAAUAAACACAAACCUAUCAUAUUAUUAUUUUUUAAUUUUCAGGUUUGAUCAUUACAUUAUUAUUUUCUGGCCCUUUUCUAAAUUCUGCUAAAUCCUUAGGUAUCUGUUUGUUGUUUGCUGUUGUUUCCAA